rnacentral:lncRNA from 1 species
UGCAGAGGAAAAAAAUAAAAUAAAAUAAAAUACAAUACAGAUGAGGAAUUUCGGAGGGCUGCGUGACCUGUGUCCUUUUUGUUUUUGAGUUCUUCGUUAACAUCGUCAAGCAGCAAAGGCUGCAAAGCUUUGCAAAAAUACUUUUAUUCCUCUUCUGCUUCCUGCACAACGGCCACAAAAUUAUUCUUCACUUUCCUAUGGCUGCAUGUAAGUUCUUAUUCCAUUUAUCUAUAUAUAUGUUCAUAGGUACACACCCCUGUUUGUGGUUACAAAUUUAAGCGUCUAAAAUGAAUUCUUGGUUGUUAAAACUGUUAUCUUUUGAUUUUUUCUCAUUUUUUGAGUGUUUCUGUAAUGGGUUCUUCUUUAUUGGUUUCUUGUUUUAUAUAAAUUAUGCAUUCAUGUUAAUUACAUAGAAUUUGAAAUUUUUGUGCUGAAUUUUGCUUCAGGUGGUAUUGGGGCUUCAGGUCUUAAGAUAACAAACUUGGAUUUGGGUUAUGUUAGACCCAAAUUGAGCACAUUGCAGCCUUUGAUUGGUUUUAGGAAUCGAAAUUCUGUUCGAUUUGAUGGUCUGGUGCUUUCACAGAGAUCAAAGAAGGCACUAACUAGGUGGCGCAGUUUGACUUCAGAUGCUGAUUGUACGUUUCUUUACAUUGAUUUUUCUCUGUUUGGUUAAUU